AGGCGAAACGCCCCUGGGCGUCGUCACACCGUGGUGGGUGUGGCCUGAUGAUGCCAGCCAGUA
rnacentral:hammerhead_ribozyme from 1 species